rnacentral:rRNA from 1 species
AGUGAACGCUGGCGGCGUGCCUAAUACAUGCAAGUCGAACGAUGAAGCCUAGCUUGCUAGGUGGAUUAGUGGCGCACGGGUGAGUAAUGCAUAGAUAACAUGCCCUUUAGUUUGGAAUAGCCACUAGAAAUGGUGAUUAAUACCAAAUACUACCUUACGAGGGAAAGAUUUAUCGCUAAAGGAUUGGUCUAUGUCCUAUCAGCUUGUUGGUGAGGUAAAGGCUCACCAAGGCUAUGACGGGUAUCCGGCCUGAGAGGGUGAACGGACACACUGGAACUGAGACACGGUCCAGACUCCUACGGGAGGCAGCAGUAGGGAAUAUUGCUCAAUGGGGGAAACCCUGAAGCAGCAACGCCGCGUGGAGGAUGAAGGUUUUAGGAUUGUAAACUCCUUUUGUUAGAGAAGAUAAUGACGGUAUCUAACGAAUAAGCACCGGCUAACUCCGUGCCAGCAGCCGCGGUAAUACGGAGGGUGCAAGCGUUACUCGGAAUCACUGGGCGUAAAGAGUGCGUAGGCGGGAGGACAAGUCAGGUGUGAAAUCCUAUGGCUUAACCAUAGAACUGCAUUUGAAACUAUCCUUCUGGAGUGUGGGAGAGGUAGGUGGAAUUCUUGGUGUAGGGGUAAAAUCCGUAGAGAUCAAGAGGAAUACUCAUUGCGAAGGCGACCUGCUGGAACAUCACUGACGCUGAUUGCACGAAAGCGUGGGGAGCAAACAGGAUUAGAUACCCUGGUAGUCCACGCCCUAAACGAUGGAUGCUAGUUGUUGGGAGGCUUUGUCUUUCCAGUAAUGCAGCUAACGCCUUAAGCAUCCCGCCUGGGGAGUACGGUCGCAAGAUUAAAACUCAAAGGAAUAGACGGGGACCCGCACAAGCGGUGGAGCAUGUGGUUUAAUUCGAAGAUACACGAAGAACCUUACCUAGGCUUGACAUUGAAGGAAUUCCCUAGAAAUAGGGGAGUGUCUAGCUUUUGCUAGACCCUGAAAACAGGUGCUGCACGGCUGUCGUCAGCUCGUGUCGUGAGAUGUUGGGUUAAGUCCCGCAACGAGCGCAACCCUUUUUCUUAGUUGCUAACAGGUUAUGCUGCGCACUCUAAGAAGACUGCCUGCGUAAGCAGGAGGAAGGUGAGGACGACGUCAAGUCAUCAUGGCCCUUACGCCUAGGGCUACACACGUGCUACAAUGGGGUGUACAAAGAGAUGCAAAGCCGCGAGGCAGAGCUAAUCUAUAAAACAUCUCCUAGUUCGGAUUGCAGGCUGCAACUCGCCUGCAUGAAGCUGGAAUCGCUAGUAAUCGCAAAUCAGCUAUGUUGCGGUGAAUACGUUCCCGGGUCUUGUACUCACCGCCCGUCACACCAUGGGAGUUGUGUUUGCCUUAAGUCAGGAUGCUAAAGCAGCUACUGCCCACGGCACACACAGCGACUGGGGUG